UACGUAGGGUGCGAGCGUUGUCCGGAAUUAUUGGGCGUAAAGAGCUCGUAGGCGGUUUGUUGCGUCUAUCGUGAAAACCUGCAGCUUAACUGUGGGCUUGCGGUGGAUACGGGCAGACUUGAGUUCGGUAGGGGAGACUGGAAUUCCUGGUGUAGCGGUGAAAUGCGCAGAUAUCAGGAGGAACACCGGUGGCGAAGGCGGAUCUCUGGGCCAUUACUGACGCUGAGGAGCGAAAGCGUGGGGAGCGAACAGG
rnacentral:rRNA from 1 species